rnacentral:pre_miRNA from 1 species
AAUAAACGAAUUUCUGUGUUUUUUUUGAAUUUUUGACUUUUCAUUUUAUUUAAAUUUUUUUUAUGAUUAAUAUUUUUAUUAUUAUUGCAUGGUAGAAUAUAAAUAGUAUUUUACGUGUGACUAAAUUUUUUUAUUUUUUAAUAACUUUUUUAAAUAAGACGGAUGGUCAAACGCUCGACCAAAAAAUCUAGA